rnacentral:rRNA from 1 species
GGAAGGGUUCCGGCUCGUAAAGCUCCUGUUGUUAAAGAAGAACACGUAUGAGAGUAACUGUCAUACGUUGACGGUAUUUAACCAGAAAGUCACGGCUAACUACGUGCCAGCAGCCGCGGUAAUACGUAGGUGGCAAGCGUUAUCCGGAUUUAUUGGGCGUAAAGAGAGUGCAGGCGGUUUUCUAAGUCUGAUGUGAAAGCCUUCGGCUUAACCGGAGAAGUGCAUCGGAAACUGGAUAACUUGAGUGCAGAAGAGGGUAGUGGAACUCCAUGUGUAGCGGUGGAAUGCGUAGAUAUAUGGAAGAACACCAGUGGCGAAGGCGGCUACCUGGUCUGCAACUGACGCUGAGACUCGAAAGCAUGGGUAGCGAACAGGAUUAGAUACCCUGGUAGUCCAUGCCGUAAACGAUGAGUGCUAGGUGUUGGAGGGUUUCCGCCCUUCAGUGCCGGAGCUAACGCAUUAAGCACUCCGCCUGGGGAGUACGACCGCAAGGUUGAAACUCAAAGGAAUUGACGGGGGCCCGCACAAGCGGUGGAGCAUGUGGUUUAAUUCGAAGCUACGCGAAGAACCUUACCAGGUCUUGACAUCUUGCGCCAACCCUAGAGAUAGGGCGUUUCCUUCGGGAACGCAAUGACAGGUGGUGCAUGGUCGUCGUCAGCUCGUGUCGUGAGAUGUUGGGUUAAGUCCCGCAACGAGCGCAACCCUUGUUACUAGUUGCCAGCAUUAAGUUGGGCACUCUAGUGAGACUGCCGGUGACAAACCGGAGGAAGGUGGGGACGACGUCAGAUCAUCAUGCCCCUUAUGACCUGGGCUACACACGUGCUACAAUGGACGGUACAACGAGUCGCGAACUCGCGAGGGCAAGCAAAUCUCUUAAAACCGUUCUCAGUUCGGACUGCAGGCUGCAACUCGCCUGCACGAAGUCGGAAUCGCUAGUAAUCGCGGAUCAGCAUGCCGCGGUGAAUACGUUCCCGGGCCUUGUACACACCGCCCGUCACACCAUGAGAGUUUGUAACACCCAAAGUCGGUGGGGUAACCUAUAGGAGCCAGCCGCCUAAGUGAACAAAGUGC